GCCCGAAUGGUCUAGUGGUAUGAUUCUUGCUUUGGGUUCCCAUCCUGAAUUGCAAGAGGCCCCGUGUUCGAUCCACGGUUCGGGCC